AAAAUUAAUUUUUUUAAAAUUUAUUUUAUUUAAAAUAUCAAAAUAGUUUUUUUUUCUAAAUUUUUAUAGAAUGUGAUUGUGUAUGUUAACUUAAUAAGUUUUAAUUAAUUAUAAUUAUUAAAUUUGAUAAAAAAAAUGAGAGAAUCGUUUAAAUUUUUAAAGUUUGAUUUACAUAUUAAAAUUAAAUAAAUUAAAAAUUUUAAAUGUGUUGAUUAAUAAGUCGAAGAAUUGUUGAAAAAUAUAAAAUUAUUAUAUAUAUAUUUAUAUAUCUAUUUAUUUAUUUAUAAAUAGUAAGUUUAAAUGAUUAAUAAAAUUAUAUAAUUAUUUUAUGCAUAGUGAAGGUAAUCUCACCACUCUAUCUGAAGAGGUGACAAAAUUCACAAAUAUAACUAUCAGCUUCAUGUUACCAAACAGAAAAAAUGUAACUGCAGCAUUGCAACUAUAUAAAACCAAACAGACUAGGUGUAGUCACAACUUCAGUAUUUGCAACUGUAUGUAUUUCCAACUACAUUGUUUCUGCAACUACAUCCAACCAAACAGCCCCUUAGAGAAGUUCGAUCUCCCUUGAACCCCAAUUGUUUACCAAUUGGAGAGAAGUCUGAUCUCACUC
rnacentral:lncRNA from 1 species